rnacentral:misc_RNA from 1 species
UCACUACUUGCGUAGGCAGUCUGGCUAGAGUCCCCACCACCCCGAAGGGCGUGCUGGCAACGUAGGACAAGGGUUGCGCUCGUUGCGGGACUUAACCCAACAUCUCACGACACGAGCUGACGACAGCCAUGCACCACCUGUGAAGGUGCCCCGAAGGGAGGAUGUGUUUCCACACCUGUCACCUACAUGUCAAGCCCAGGUAAGGUUCUUCGCGUUGCGUCGAAUUAAACCACAUGCUCCGCUGCUUGUGCGGGCCCCCGUCAAUUCCUUUGAGUUUCAGUCUUGCGACCGUACUCCCCAGGCGGCGAACUUAACGCGUUAGCUUCGAUACUGCGUGCCAAAUUGCACCCAACAUCCAGUUCGCAUCGUUUAGGGCGUGGACUAC